rnacentral:rRNA from 1 species
AGCGAACGCUGGCGGCAGGCCUAACACAUGCAAGUCGAACGAACCCUUCGGAGUUAGUGGCGGACGGGUGAGUAACACGUGGGAACGUGCCUUUAGGUUCGGAAUAACUCAGGGAAACUUGUGCUAAUACCGAAUGUGCCCUUCGGGGGAAAGAUUUAUCGCCUUUAGAGCGGCCCGCGUCUGAUUAGCUAGUGGGUGAGGUAACGGCUCACCAAGGCGACGAUCAGUAGCUGGUCUGAGAGGCUGACCAGCCACACUGGGACUGAGACACGGCCCAGACUCCUACGGGAGGCAGCAGUGGGGAAUCUUGCGCAAUGGGCGAAAGCCUGACGCAGCCAUGCCGCGUGAAUGAUGAAGGUCUUAGGAUUGUAAAAUUCUUUCACCGGGGACGAUAAUGACGGUACCCGGAGAAGAAGCCCCGGCUAACUUCGUGCCAGCCGCCGCCGUAACAC